CUACGUAGGGGGCGAGCGUUGUCCGGAAUGAUUGGGCGUAAAGGGCGCGUAGGCGGCGCGGUAAGUCUGGAGUGAAAGUCCUGCUUUCAAGGUGGGAAUUGCUUUGGAUACUGCCGCGCUUGAGUGCAGGAGAGGUUAUCGGAAUUCCCGGUGUAGCGGUGAAAUGCGUAGAGAUCGGGAGGAACACCAGUGGCGAAGGCGGGUAACUGGACUGCAACUGACGCUGAGGCGCGAAAGUGUGGGGAGCAAACAGGAUUAGGUACCCUGGUAGUCCACACUGUAAACGAUGAAUGCUAGGUGUAAGAGGUAUCGACCCCUUUUGUGCCGGAGUUAACACAAUAAGCAUUCCGCCUGGGGAGUACGGCCGCAAGGUUGAAACUCAAAUGAAUUGACGGGG
rnacentral:rRNA from 1 species